UCUCAUAAGUACGAAGUUAAGCAUCAUUGGGCGCGGUCAGUACAUGGGUGGGUGACCACCUGGGAACACUGCGUGCCGUU